rnacentral:rRNA from 1 species
AGUGAACGCUGGCGGCAGGCCUAACACAUGCAAGUCGAGCGGCAGCGCGUCCGACCACCCUCGGGUGGUCGGAUGGCGGCGAGCGGCGGACGGGUGAGGAAUGCAUCGGAAUCUGCCUCGUUGUGGGGGAUAACGUAGGGAAACUUACGCUAAUACCGCAUACGACCUACGGGUGAAAGUGGGGGACCUUCGGGCCUCACGCGAUGAGAUGAGCCGAUGCCGGAUUAGCUAGUUGGCGGGGUAAAGGCCACCAAGGCGACGAUCCGUAGCGGGUCUGAGAGGAUGAUCAGCCACACUGGAACUGAGACACGGUCCAGACUCCUACGGGAGGCAGCAGUAGGGAAUAUUGGACAAUGGGGGCAACCCUGAUCCAGCCAUGCCGCGUGAGUGAAGAAGGCCCUCGGGUUGUAAAGCUCUUUUGUCCGGAAAGAAAAGCAAUCGGUUAAUACCCGGUUGUUCUGACGGUACCGGAAGAAUAAGCACCGGCUAACUUCGUGCCAGCAG